GGCGGGACAGGUGGGCGGGUCAGUGGGGGAAUAAGGAGACGGGAGGAAGAGGGUCCCCGUCCGCGAUCGCCGUCGAAGUCCGAGUCAGUGUCGCUCCGGCAUCGGCGGCGGGAGGUUGCAUCUCUCUCUCUGUCUCUCCCUCUCUCACUCUCUCCCUCGCUCUCACGCCUCUCACAGUCACGCGCGGCGGACUUCAGAUCUAUCUCGCAAAAAUGAAAGAAUCGAAGAGAAAACGGACCUGAAACUCAUGCUCUUAGGGGAACAUUAAUAGAAACUGCCGCACCUCCUCUAAUAACCCGUGGCGGCAGGAGUGAGGCAGAAAGACCCUUACGAUAAGGAGAG